UAAUUAUAAUUUCUGAAGCUUCUCUUCUUCCUUUCCCACAUGUCAAGAUCUCAUAGCAACAAACAGUACUAGGAAGACAACCCCCUACCUUCUUCAGAGGGCUCCAUUUGCAUGUGAAGGAGAGAGUCCUCCCCUGCCCUGCAUGAGAUGCCCCAGCAAGAAGCACAGUCUCCUUCAGCUCUCUGCAGAGACCUCAGCUGUUGGCAGCACACUGCUGCUUUUCACAUCAGCUUCUCCACUACCUUCCCAGGAAACGGGGGGUUAUAGGAAAGCAUCCCAGCACCUGAGCAUCACAAGGAUGAUGAACCUACCACCAGAAUAUCUCCUUAGGGAUCCUUGUAACCUCCGGCUGCAUCAGGGGCCCACACCCACUUCGCACAAAAAGCAUACUUCUGGCAUUCUGGGGACCCAGGACCUAAAGAGCAACCUACAGAUUUUGGACUUAAUAUGCAUAAAAAUUAAGCUAUACAGCAAUUUAUUACAUGCAAUUUAAAUUCUCUCAGAUGAAGAAAAAUCACAAAGGUGUUGGGCUUUUUUUUCUGGUGAUUUCCAAUGAUUAUUGAGCACUGCUUCCCUGUUUCCUCAGAUGCAAGUAGAAAUAGGCUGCAAAAAAACAAAUAAGAAAGACCAAGCUGUGCACUUUCAUUUCCAUGCAAAGGAAGUGAAAACUCCCAGGCAGCCUGCUGGGCCACAGUAGUGCUUCUGGUGGCUGUCCUCACCCUGGAGCAGCACAGAGGAACCAACAGAAAAGAGCAGACACCUGUUCAAAGAUAAAAUUAAGUCUGAAGACAUUAAAGAAAGUAAAGAAAACUGAGAUUUUAUGGUGGUGCUCAGUGGAUGACACAUUUUGUCCCCAUGCUUCUCUACACCUGUGUGAAAUGUCAAGCACGGAAUAAUGGUAUUUAUAUAACUAUAUGUGAGAGAAUCGCAUGCAUGAAUGACAGAUUAUGUCAGAAUUUCAUCUGGGCAUUGAGAAGAACAGGAAUGUAUGAUUAAAAUGCUGCUCCUGCAUCAGUCUGGGAGGAGACCCUGAUAACUGGCAGAGAGGUUCACAUGAGCAGCAGUUUAACUCCUGAUUGCAAAAUUAAUUAGAUCUUCAUUUGUACCUUUAGGGAACAAAUCACAUUUCAACAGGUCUCUGGGCAUUCACCUGGCAGUGUCGCAGCCAAAAUCUGAAUCCAAAGGCAGAGUGUAAGCAGAAAGACAGGUAGUUUUUCUUCAUAAAUUAACACUUUGCACCGAUAAUCAACUAUUAUAAUCUACAAUUGUAUUAGAACCAAAAUUGUGUAUUUACUUGAAAUCAGUUGUGCAAUCAUUUGGGGUAUCUGUGACAUAUUUGUGAAAAAGAAUCACAGAACACCUUCCAAGGCAACCCCAAAAAAUACCUUCAUAUUAUACUCUUGAGGCAUUUGAAUAGAGUGUGACAUGGCCAGCCUCAGACGGUAGGUAGUGCAGGUGCCACUGUACAAAGCCUAUAAGACAAAGUGAAAAGGAGUUGCAUGGAAAAAUACAUCAGAGGAUGAGAGAAUAAAAAGCUUUAGUGAAGCA
rnacentral:lncRNA from 14 species